UAAUAUCAUGUGAAGAUGACAAACCCAUGUGCCUCUGAGCUGCCAUGACUCUGGCUUCUUAGUCAGUGCUCUGGGGAGGAUGGAGGUAUU